rnacentral:rRNA from 1 species
AACCCUCGACCUUAGUUGCCAGCAUUCAGUUGGCACUCUAAGGUGACUGCCGGCUAAAAGUCGGAGGAAGGUGGGGAGUGACGUCAAAUCAUCAUGCCCCUUAUGACCUGGGCUACACACGUGCUACAAUGGGCGGUACAAAGGGUCGCGAACCCGCGAGGGGGAGCCAAUCCCAAAAAGCCGCUCUCAGUUCGGAUUGCAGGCUGCAACUCGCCUGCAUGAAGCCGGAAUCGCUAGUAAUCGCGGAUCAGCAUGCCGCGGUGAAUACGUUCCCGGGCCUU